rnacentral:rRNA from 1 species
UCUUGGUCAUUUAGAGGAAGUAAAAGUCGUAACAAGGUUUCCGUAGGUGAACCUGCGGAAGGAUCAUUACAUAUGUCCGGGAUGUCCAAGGGGGCUCCCAAGCAAACAACAUCCACGUGUACACUCCCACGGAGGGAUCCCAGACCGAGUGCCCUAGGCUCUACACCCCAUUGUCAACACACUUAUGGUUGAGUUGUCGGGGUAAGGGUGCGAUAUCUACGGGCUCCGGGCGUCAGCCGGGGACAAGCCCAUUCUGAGCAAAUUGUGAAAUUAGAGGGGCGAAAUCAACAAAACAUAUUGAAUCUAAACUUUCAACAAAGGAUGUAGCGAAAUUGGCUAAGUAAAGAACGCACAGAAAUCAGAGAAUCAAUGAAUCUUUGAGAAUUCAGUGAAUCAUUGAAUUAUUCAAUAGGCCAUGCCUCCUCGAGCAUUCCGGCGGCCACGUCUGUCCGAAUGUCAUUUCGGUCGUCAGGGGUACCGUUAAGGGCGGACCGUGUGCUGGGGAUCAGCGGCCUCCGCCAGAAAUCCCCCAAAUUGUAGGGCGGUCGCAGAGCAGCCUAAUAUUGUGAAGUAGUACUACUCGCACCGGAGUGCGAGUCGCCCGACCCCCGAAACCUCCAAUAAGAGAGGUGACCUCGCUCAGCUUGGAGCCCAUUUCCC